UACAGAGGGUGCAAGCGUUAAUCGGAAUUACUGGGCGUAAAGCGUGCGUAGACGGUAGCGUAAGUCGGGUGUGAAAGCCCCGGGCUCAACCUGGGAAUUGCAUUCGAGACUGCUCUGCUAGGGUGCGGAAGAGGGAAGCGGAAUUUCCGGUGUAGCGGUGAAAUGCGUAGAUAUCGGAAGGAACACCAGAGGCGAAAGCGGCGACCUGGACAGGCACUGACACUCAACUACGAAAGCGUGGGGAGCAAACAGG
rnacentral:rRNA from 1 species